rnacentral:rRNA from 1 species
UAAACAUAUUACCGAAGCUGUGGAUUGUCCUUUGGACAAUGGUAGGAGAGCGUUCUAAGGGCGUUGAAGCAUGAUCGUAAGGACAUGUGGAGCGCUUAGAAGUGAGAAUGCCGGUGUGAGUAGCGAAAGACGGGUGAGAAUCCCGUCCACCGAUUGACUAAGGUUUCCAGAGGAAGGCUCGUCCGCUCUGGGUUAGUCGGGUCCUAAGCUGAGGCCGACAGGCGUAGGCGAUGGAUAACAGGUUGAUAUUCCUGUACCACCUAUAAUCGUUUUAAUCGAUGGGGGGACGCAGUAGGAUAGGCGAAGCGUGCGAUUGGAUUGCACGUCUAAGCAGUAAGGCUGAGUAUUAGGCAAAUCCGGUACUCAUUAAGGCUGAGCUGUGAUGGGGAGAAGACAUUGUGUCUUCGAGUCGUUGAUUUCACACUGCCGAGAAAAGCCUCUAGAUAGAAAAUAGGUGCCCGUACCGCAAACCGACACAGGUAGUCAAGAUGAGAAUUCUAAGGUGAGCGAGCGAACUCUCGUUAAGGAACUCGGCAAAAUGACCCCGUAACUUCGGGAGAAGGGGUGCUCUUUAGGGUUAACGCCCAGAAGAGCCGCAGUGAAUAGGCCCAAGCGACUGUUUAUCAAAAACACAGGUCUCUGCUAAACCGUAAGGUGAUGUAUAGGGGCUGACGCCUGCCCGGUGCUGGAAGGUUAAGAGGAGUGGUUAGCUUCUGCGAAGCUACGAAUCGAAGCCCCAGUAAACGGCGGCCGUAACUAUAACGGUCCUAAGGUAGCGAAAUUCCUUGUCGGGUAAGUUCCGACCCGCACGAAAGGCGUAACGAUUUGGGCACUGUCUCAACGAGAGACUCGGUGAAAUCAUAGUAC